rnacentral:misc_RNA from 1 species
GUGAAUCAUCGAAUUUUUGAACGCAAAUUGCACUCUCUGGCAUUCCGGUGAGUAUGUCUGUUUGAGGGUAAGAAUAAUCAAAAUCGGUGCGAUGCCUUUUGGGUGACGCACCGGGGUUUGGGCCUCUUUAACUUUUUUUUUUUAGAGACCUAAAAUUAACAUUCUUUUUUGCUUACUCUUGUGUAGUAUAUAUUUUUUUUUUCUUCGUCUAUCUCGGUG